rnacentral:misc_RNA from 1 species
GUGUAUGUUUUGUGUUUGUGUUCAGAUUAGCAUCGCGUGUAAAAGAGAAAGACGCCGAUAAAACCGUCCCCUCAAGGGACCGCUAUCGACCCAACAGUCCACAGGUGUUUAAAAGGCGGUCAUGCAGUGAUGAUCCUUCCGCAGGUUCACCUACGGAAA